AGCUUUGCGCAGAGGCAAUAUCAUAACCAAUGAAGGUUUACUGAGGUGUGGUUAUUGCUAGUUGAAAACUUUACCCAAUACCCUGCCAAUACGACUUUCGAGUCGGAUUAGGCAAUUUUUGGAGGUCUCUAAGGAGG
rfam:Strigamia maritima strain Brora ctg7180001229242, whole genome shotgun sequence.